rnacentral:rRNA from 1 species
AUUGAACGCUGGCGGCAUGCUUUACACAUGCAAGUCGAACGGUAACAGGUUAAGCUGACGAGUGGCGAACGGGUGAGUAAUGCAUCGGAACGUGCCCGAUCGUGGGGGAUAACGCGGCGAAAGCUGCGCUAAUACCGCAUACGAUCUGAGGAUGAAAGCGGGGGACCGUAAGGCCUCGCGCGAUCGGAGCGGCCGAUGUCAGAUUAGGUAGUUGGUGGGGUAAAGGCACACCAAGCCGACGAUCUGUAGCUGGUCUGAGAGGACGACCAGCCACACUGGGACUGAGACACGGCCCAGACUCCUACGGGAGGCAGCAGUGGGGAAUUUUGGACAAUGGGCGAAAGCCUGAUCCAGCAAUGCCGCGUGCAGGAAGAAGGCCUUCGGGUUGUAAACUGCUUUUGUACGGAGCGAAAAGGUCCUUUCUAAUACAAGGGGCUCAUGACGGUACCGUAAGAAUAAGCACCGGCUAACUACGUGCCAGCCGCCGCCGUAA